AGCUCGUUAGCUCAGCGGUUAGAGCGCCCAACUGAUUCAGAGGUGGUCGGGGGUUCAAAUCCCUCACGAGCUG